AAACUGCAUACAGCUGUCUUUCUGAGCAUCAGUGCGGGAGAUGUUCCUUAGAUGCUGCCCUAGGAAUGUGCUGGACCUGAGGAAGCACCCACUGACACAGAGUGUCUGUGUCUAAGGAGUUGUUGACUAUCAGCAUUUUUAGGUGUGAGAGCUGACCUCUGGAACAUGGGAGUGCAAGAGCUGGCCCUGAUCCUCACCAGCUGCAGCGCCUUCGGGGAAGUGAGACCUUUGCCUCACCUGGCCAACACAACAGAGCCGGCCCUGGUGGUGUGGAUGUCAGUGACCCCCGAGGGUGGGAGAGUAGGAGAGCUGGCCCUGCCCCUUGCUGCCUGCUGCAUUGGGUGAGCUGGUUGGGGCAGUGCUGGAGAGCUCGCCCUGGUGGUGAGGUGGAGGAAGAGCUGGUGGGCUGACCAACCCAGCUACCAUCCAAGCCCAGAACCAGGGCUGUGAGUUGGUCCAUCCCAACAUCUACCCCAUCAAAGAAGUGCUGGAGCACAUGAAGGGGCCGAUCCUGCGGAUUCAAACCUGCAGGAACUCCAUGACACAGGACAACAACAGGAUAUCCAAGAGGAGCCCCAGCGAGGGCCAGGUGUGGACAGUGGAGCAGAAGCCAGAGGCCUUGAACCAGAGCAAUGACUCAUAGCAAGGCACACCUGCAAAAACUGUGUCUUUGGAGGAUAUCCACCGGACUGCAAGCAAAACAUCCCAAAGUGCACAUCUGCAGUAUGACCUCAGACUCCGUGGUGCCUUCUGCUCUGAGAGGCUCAAUGAAUCCUGUAGCUGAAGUCUCAGGGUCUGUUUAGGGUACAUGGAAAAUGUUCAGAUCACUGAAGUCAUGGCAGCUUCUUCUCCAGGACACUGACAUCUACUAGCAACACACAGCCAGGGAGUUUAAGUACUAGAGGAAGAGAUCAAGCUAUUAAAAAAAAUGAAUCUUUAUUUUAUUGGUACAAUAUAUUCUUCUAUUAGUAAUUAUGUAAAAAUAUCAAUAAUUGUAAAAAAUCAAGACUCAUAAUUACUAAGAAAAU